UACGUAGGGUGCGAGCGUUGUCCGGAAUUAUUGGGCGUAAAGGGCUCGUAGGCGGUCUGUCGCGUCGGGAGUGAAAACUCAGGGCUUAACCCUGAGCCUGCUUCCGAUACGGGCAGACUAGAGGUAUGCAGGGGAGAACGGAAUUCCUGGUGUAGCGGUGGAAUGCGCAGAUAUCAGGAGGAACACCGGUGGCGAAGGCGGCGACCUGGUCCGUUACUGACGCUGAGGCGCGACAGCGUGGGGAGCAAACAGG
rnacentral:rRNA from 1 species